GCUGCAGACCGCCUUAUCGCCGUCUCGAUUUAUCGGGAGGGAGGAAAGUCCGGACACCACAGAGAAGCAUAGCGGGUAACACCCGUCGGUUCGAGUAAUCGGAUUAGGACAAGUGCAACAGAAAGCAGGUACAGGUAAUGCUGUAGUGAAACCAGGUAAACUCUAUGCGGUGAAAUUUCAAGUAUAUCGGCAUUUAAGGGUUCUCGCCCGUUGUCGAAGGGUAGAAAGAUGGAGCACGCGAGUAAUUUCGUGCCUAGAUAAAUGAUAAGGCACCAUUUAUUGGUGACAGAACCCGGCUUAUAGGUCUGCUUUUUUU
rnacentral:RNase_P_RNA from 1 species